rnacentral:misc_RNA from 1 species
AUGAAGAACGUAGCGAAAUGCGAUAAGUAAUGUGAAUUGCAGAAUUCCGUGAAUCAUCGAAUCUUUGAACGCACAUUGCGCCCCCUGGCAUUCCGGGGGGCAUGCCUGUCCGAGCGUCAUUUCUGCCCUCCAGCCCGGCUGGGUGUUGGGCGCUGUCCCCCCGGGGACACGCCCCAAAGGCAGUGGCGGCGCCGCGUCGGGUCCUCGAGCGUAUGGGGCUUUGUCACCCGCUCGGGACGGACUCGUCGGCGCUGGUCUUCCUCCAGGCGACCCUUCGGGGCUCGUCUUCCUUCGGUUGACCUCGGAUCAGGUAGGGUUACCCGCUGAACUUAAGCAUAUCAAUAAGCGGAGGA